CUGAGAGACAGAAGGAUAAAAGGAUAGAGCAGGGACAGAAGGAUAAACGGAUAGAAGGACAGGCACAGUUGUUUGUGUAUAAUAUUUUGUACACCCCCCCCCCCCACACACACACUCUUCUAAAUGUGUCUGUCUCUUUUAGAAGCCUUUGGUCUAACCACACAUGCCAUUUAGUCUCUGUAAUAUGUCAUAUUUCCAAAUACUUUGAUCAGACAAUGGUAACAGCAUCUGAGUCCUAUCACUCUUGUCUGAUAUGUCAGCAGUGCCUGAGGCAUACAGCCACCAAAAACCUGCCUCAAAACUAAUGACUGGAACUCAAUCAGAAUAACACCAGUGAUUAGUAUAGAAUAUUGUAGAAUAGAACAAAACUCUACAUGGACGUGGCGCCGAUAAGACUAUCGUCGGCUUAGAUUAAUAUUUAGCUUGUCAUUUUUUCCGUAGGCCCAGGUUCAAGACCGGGGUCAACAGCAGGAGGAAGCUUCUCCCUCCAGCUGCACUGAAACAGCUAGGAGCACUUGUGUCACAUCUGUCUGUCAGCUCCAGUCUCUCAGCGGAGCCAGAAGGGAGAGGGAGAGCUUUGUGACCACCAACCUGAGUCGGAUCCAGUACAUGCAGGUCAGACUGAGAAGCAACCUGGAGGCUAUAGGCUUGCUCAACAAACAGCUGAGUGCUCUGGGAGGAGAGAACGAGAGAUUGCGUCUGCAGCUGGAGGAGGAGAGAGCAGAGCGCAGACGAGUGAUACCGCCAACCAACAACCGGAGGGGUACCUCCCCCCUUCCCCUCUGCCUGACCCAUGGAUCUUCCUCCUCCCUUCCCUCCCUCUCCCCCUCUCUGGAUAGAGACACAGGAUACCCUCCCCCUGCCUCCCACCUUUCCCCCUCCCCUUUUCACUACCCCCCCAGCCACAGCCCCAGUCCCAGGCCAGGGGAGAAGGACACUGCCCUGACCCGAGCAGAGUUGAGCGUGGCUGGGCCGCGGGAGCCAGGCGAGGCCCAGGCUGUUAAUGAGGCCUACUGGGUGAGGAGGGUGGGAGAACUAUCAGUACAGUUGCAGGACAGAGAGCUCUACUGGUCAGGUAGGAUCAACCACCUCGCUACAGAGAUACGACAGACCAAGGACACUUCGCCCCUCACCUGACCUCCCGCUGACCUCUAAACCCUGUUCCCUGACCUCUAAUGCCUGACAUCUCCUCCUUGUUUGGCUGUUGUUUUGGAUGGGUUCAGUUAUGAAGCCAUAUCAUUGUCUCUGAUCACUGUAUGACUGUGUACCAUGUGCUACAAAUGUUGACAUUUACAUCUAUUUUGAGUUUGCGUGUCAUUUGUGGUUAGUGCCGUGUGUGUGUGUGUGUGUGUUCCUGUACUCGUACAGUGCCUUGUAACAUGGAGACUAUUGUAGUAAUAUUGAUAGUUAUUGUUGUCUCUCUGAGUUCCAGUUUGAUAAUAAAUCCACAUUUUUAAAAAAAAUCCCGUUUUAUGUUUAAAGUUGUCACUGAAAGCCAGAUAGUUGUCACUGAAAGCCAGAUAGUUGAGACUGUAGGCCAGAUAGUUGUCACUGUAGGCCAGAUAGUUGUCACUGAAGGUCAGAUAGUUGUCACUGUAGGUCAGAUAGUUGUCACUGAAGGCCAGAUAGUUGUCACUGUAGGCCAGAUAGUUGUCACUAUAGGCCAGAUAGUUGUCACUUUGUAGC
ensembl:lncRNA